CACGUAGGGCGCAAGCGUUGUCCGGAAUUAUUGGGCGUAAAGAGCUCGUAGGCGGCUUGUCGCGUCGACUGUGAAAACCCGAGGCUCAACUUCGGGCUUGCAGUCGAUACGGGCAGGCUAGAGUUCGGUAGGGGAGACUGGAAUUCCUGGUGUAGCGGUGAAAUGCGCAGAUAUCAGGAGGAGCACCGAUGGCGAAGGCAGGUCUCUGGGCCGAUACUGACGCUGAGGAGCGAAAGCGUGGGGAGCGAACAGG
rnacentral:rRNA from 1 species